GUGCUUAUUUCAGCAGUGUAUUUACUAAAAUUGGAAUGAUACAGAGAAGAUUAGCAUGGCCCCUGUGGAAGAAUGUCAUGCAACUUUGUGAACUGUUCUACAUUUUA